CUCUCCCUCUCUCUCCGUCUCUCUCUAUCUCUGCAAAGAUGAUAACAUCUCUUCCUAUUCCUUCAUCUUCUUCAUCACUUCUUCUAGAGGCUUCCCAAAUCUCUUGAUCGAGAGCUGCUUCUACGAUCUGCAAUGCCUAGAGAAGUAACGCCUAUAUUCCAAAUCUCGAGCCUUUCAGCAGGAGCAAGAGCAUCAAGGAGUCAAAAGAAACUUCCUCCAGAAAUCAGAGAAUGAGCUUGCUAUUAUGAUUUCCUUUUCCAGAUUUCUUUUGUAAUUUUUUAAACUUGAAUCGCCGAAGAUCUACCAUUCACAUAGGUUCGAUCUCUUGAAAUCAAAGGAAUCCGAGGCUCCUCUCCAAAAGUUCGAUCUCUUCCUCUCUCUAUCUCUCUAUGCCGCUCUUUUUCUCCGAGGGCCUCGUUUUCUCUGUUCUUCGCUGAGAUUUGGGUUUUCUCUGAAAUGAUUCAACUCCUGGUGCCCCCCGUAACAAGGUUGGGCAAAUUUCACACAGUGUGGUUCUGGGAACUUUCAAUAUUGGGGACCAAGGUGAAGGCAUUGUACCUGACCUUACGCUGAUUAUUGGAGCAGUUUUGAAUUCUGUUGGAGUUGGAAAUGUGGCUACUAGUGGCGGGGUGAGCAAUACACCUACAGCUGCCAAUGUGGCUGGCCCACCAUCCCAAGGUGUUGAUUUGCAUCUUGCUCUAGUGGCUUUCCUUUAAAGCUGUCAUCUUGUGUACAACUAAAAUUUUGGAGAGUCAUUAUCAUAAAGUUGCAUUUAUAGGCCUAGUCCAUUCAUUCUUCUUCAGAGCCAUAAGCAAUGCGUUGAUGUAAUUUGGGCACGACAAGGCAUUUUCUUUCCAUGGAAAUUACUUUUUGACUUUUAUGAUGCACAAUUUUACACUCUAAAUCUUUUGCCAACUAGUUUUUUGUUUCUAGUUUUGCUUAAUCGUAACUUUCUGCAGUUCCAUAGAAUAAUGCAGGGCGCAUUGAAAGAGGGGGGAACUGAUCCAGUGACACG